rnacentral:rRNA from 1 species
GAUCAUGGCUCAGGAUGAACGCUAGCUACAGGCUUAACACAUGCAAGUCGAGGGGAAACGAUAUUGGAAGCUUGCUUCUGAUAGGCGUCGACCGGCGCACGGGUGAGUAACGCGUAUCCAACCUGCCCAUCACUUGGGGAUAACCUUGUGAAAGUAAGACUAAUACCCAAUGACGUCUCUAGAAGACAUCUGAAAGAGAUUAAAGAUUUAUCGGUGAUGGAUGGGGAUGCGUCUGAUUAGCUUGUUGGCGGGGUAACGGCCCACCAAGGCGACGAUCAGUAGGGGUUCUGAGAGGAAGGUCCCCCACAUUGGAACUGAGACACGGUCCAAACUCCUACGGGAGGCAGCAGUGAGGAAUAUUGGUCAAUGGUCGGCAGACUGAACCAGCCAAGUCGCGUGAGGGAAGACGGCCCUACGGGUUGUAAACCUCUUUUGUCGGAGAGUAAAGUACGCUACGUGUAGUGUAUUGCAAGUAUCCGAAGAAAAAGCAUCGGCUAACUCCGUG